rnacentral:lncRNA from 1 species
CAAUGUUUGAAAAGUCCAUCGAGAUUGGCGUAGAAACUGUGCAGUUUGACUGGGGCCAUCCCUGAGAUGAGGCUGGCCUUGGUUUGCCCUGCAUCCCUGCUGUCUGUCCAGCCUCUUCCUUGGCCUGCCCAAAGUGGAUUUCGGAGACUAAGGCUCCUAUCUCUGCCCUUUACCUGGCACUUUGUUGGACGUGGA